AGGACGAACGCUGGCGGCGUGCCUAACACAUGCAAGUCGAACGGGGUCCAACCGGUGGCAACACUGGUGAAGACCUAGUGGCGAACGGGUGAGUAACACGUGAGCAACCUGCCUCGAAGACUGGGAUAACCCCGGGAAACCGGAGCUAAUACCGGAUAUCCCCACCGGGUCGCAUGGCCUGGUGAGGAAAUGGAUUCCGCUUUGAGAGGGGCUCGCGGCCUAUCAGCUUGAUGGUGGGGUAACGGCCUACCAUGGCACCGACGGGUAGCUGGUCUGAGAGGACGAUCAGCCACACUGGGACUGUGACACGGCCCAGACUCCUACGGGAGGCAGCAGUGGGGAAUCUUGCGCAAUGGGCGAAAGCCUGACGCAGCAACGCCGCGUGUGGGACGAAGGCCUUCUGGGUUGUAAACCACUUUCAGCAGGGACGAUUGUGACGGUACCUGCAGAAGAAGCCCCGGCCAACUACGUGCCAGCAGCCGCGGUAAUACGUAGGGGGCGAGCGUUGUCCGGAAUUAUUGGGCGUAAAGAGCUCGUAGGCGGCUUGGCUAGUCACGUGUGAAAUCUCCAGGCUCAACCUGGUGAUGCCACGUGAUACUGCCAUGGCUUGAGUCCGGUAGGGGACCAUGGAAUUCCUGGUGUAGCGGUGAAAUGCGCAGAUAUCAGGAGGAACACCAGGGGCGAAGGCGGUGGUCUGGGCCGGUACUGACGCUGAGGAGCGAAAGCGUGGGGAGCGAACAGGAUUAGAUACCCUGGUAGUCCUAGCCCUAAACCAUGAUUGCUUGGUGUGACGGGUACCCAAUCCCGCCGUGCCGUAGCUAACGCGUUAAGCAAUCCGCCUGGGGAGUACGGUCGCAAGGCUGAA
rnacentral:rRNA from 1 species